rnacentral:rRNA from 1 species
CCUAGGGGUGGCUGCAGUGGGGAAUAUUGGACAAUGGGCGAAAGCCUGAUCCAGCCAUGCCGCGUGUGUGAAGAAGGCCUUCGGGUUGUAAAGCACUUUCAGUGGGGAAGAAAGCCUUGGGGCUAAUACCCUCGAGGAAGGACAUCACCCACAGAAGAAGCACCGGCUAACUCCGUGCCAGCAGCCGCGGUAAUACGGAGGGUGCGAGCGUUAAUCGGAAUUACUGGGCGUAAAGCGCGCGUAGGCGGUCUGAUAAGCCGGUUGUGAAAGCCCCGGGCUCAACCUGGGAACGGCAUCCGGAACUGUCAGGCUAGAGUGCAGGAGAGGAAGGUAGAAUUCCCGGUGUAGCGGUGAAAUGCGUAGAGAUCGGGAGGAAUACCAGUGGCGAAGGCGGCCUUCUGGACUGACACUGACGCUGAGGUGCGAAAGCGUGGGUAGCAAACAGGAUUAGAUACCCCAGUAGUC